AUAACAAUACAGGACUCUUCAGAGGCCCUGUAAUUGUAAUGAGUCCAUUUGAAAUCCUUUAACUAUGUUCAAUUGGAGGGCAAGUCUGGUGCAGAGCGACUGACCUGUGUGUGCUGCAGCUGAAA